ensembl:lncRNA
GAUUGCAGGAGCCGCGAGCCGGUGCGCAGCGCACGCGGUGGAGCGUGAGGCUCAGGAUCUGAUUGUCCGCACCCGGCAGGUCGCCCCGCGGCAGACGGAGGCUCCGCGUGCGGACCUGGGGACGCCUGAGCCAGGAGGGGGCAAAGAAAAGAAAAGUCGCGACUGCAGACCUUCCUGCCCCGCCCCGAGGGCCCCUAAGGAAAGGGUUCCGGAAGGAGGCUCCAGGAUCCCGGGGCUUGCGGCUGAGACCCCCCUAGGCUGCGGAGGAGUGGCUUCCCCCACUGGCUACAGACUGCUAGACUGAGGCCGGCAUUGGAGUUGAAAACGGCUCUUUCUUUCUCCAGGUCUCAUGCCUCCUCGUCCACCCCACGGGCACAGCCUCAUGGGCUGCAGUGUCUGACGCCAGCUGCCCCGCCACGGGAACCUCUGCACAGUGAGCCAGGAACCCUUCUCAUGGCCCUGAUGUUCUGAGCGCACGGCCAUGCACCUUCUGUGCUUAGAGUCAGGCCCCAGCCCUGGAGUCCUCAAUGAGCACCUGAUGAAAUAAAGUCAACUAUCUGGAAGGUGAAGGCGGAAGUGCCUGCAGAUGGACUUUCUUAGCUGACCUAGGGGAGAAGAUUAUUCCCAGACUCCUGCUGCAGAAGCUCACUUGUCCGUGGCUUCAGUUUUCCUUGUAGUGCAAAGCCCUGUCCCUCUUGGUCGCUCCCCACCAAAGCCAGUGAUGUCCUCUGCUCCACGUUGUCAGAGCUCCCUGUCUGCCUUCUUGCUGCCAGCCAUUCAACCACUUCAAUCCCCUAGCACGGAUGUGCCCAGGGUUUGCUGAAGCCACAUCCCUGGAAGAUGGGAUUUCACGACACUUCGUACGAAUGCCGCCGCAUGAAGACACAGACCCUCCAGUCACCCUGUGGGCGUCAGGCUGGGGUGCUGCACCAAACAGGGUGCGUGUUGUGCACUAGACACAGGAUGCUGCACCCCAUUUCCUCUUUGUCUUUCAGAUCCAUCCCUGUGAUGGUUGGAAAGCGGUUCUCACUGCAGUUUUGCUAUUAACCUCCCCUGCGCACACUGAGUCUCUAUCCAGCCUUAUGUAUUUCCUCCUGGCUUUCUUCACUUGGCACAGUGCUUGUGAAUCAUUCAUGCUGUUGGGUCUCUAAUGGAUAGGUUUACUGCUAUGAAUUUCCCUCUACAUGUUGCUUUAGCUGCUUCCUACAAACACAAUAUGUUGUGUUUCGUUUCAUUCCAUCCGAAAUGUUUUCUAAUUUCCCUUGAGGCUUCUGUUGAUCCAUGGAUUAUUUAGAAG